rnacentral:rRNA from 1 species
GACGAACGCUGGCGGCGUGCUUAACACAUGCAAGUCGAACGGAAAGGCCCUGCUUGCAGGGUACUCGAGUGGCGAACGGGUGAGUAACACGUGGGUGAUCUGCCCUGCACUUCGGGAUAAGCCUGGGAAACUGGGUCUAAUACCGGAUAGGAGCCAUUUUUAGUGUGAUGGUUGGAAAGUUUUUUCGGUGUAGGAUGAGCUCGCGGCCUAUCAGCUUGUUGGUGGGGUAAUGGCCUACCAAGGCGGCGACGGGUAGCCGGCCUGAGAGGGUGGACGGCCACAUUGGGACUGAGAGACGGCCCAGACGCCGACGGGAGGAAGCAGGGGGGAAUAUUGCACAAUGGGCGCAAGCCUGAUGCAGCGACGCCGCGUGGGGGAUGACGGCCUUCGGGUUGUAAACUCCUUUCGCUAGGGACGAAGCUUUUUGUGACGGUACCUAGAUAAGAAGCACCGGCUAACUACGUG